UUACGGCCAUAUCACAUUGAAACACCGGUUCUCGUACGAUCACCGAAGUUAAGCAACGUCCAGUCUGGCUAGUACUUAGAUUAGUGAACAUUUGGAAACAGUAGGUGCUGUAAG